rnacentral:rRNA from 1 species
AUGGCGAUCUGGGAGGAGCUGCACUUCGUGCUGGUGCCGCUGGUGGCGCCGGGCCACAUCAUCCCCAUGGUGGACGUGGCGCGCCUCCUCGCCGCGCGCGGGCCAAGGGUCACCGUGGUCACCACGCCCGUCAACGCCGCGCGCAACAGGGCCACCGUCGACGGCGCCAGGAGGGCCGGUCUCGCCGUCGAGUUCGUCGAGCUCCCCUUCCCCUGCGCGCAGCUCGGCCUGCCGGAGGGGGUGGAGACCAUCGACCAGAUGACAGGGCUCGAGCCGGCCAUGUGCCUCAGAUUCUUCCAGGGCAUAUGGAAGAUCGCGGAGCCGCUGGAGGAGUACCUCCGGGCGCUGACGCGCCGGCCGGUCUGCCUCGUAGCCGACGCGUGCAACCCGUGGACGGCGCCGGUGUGCGAACGCCUCGGCAUCCCCAGGCUGGUGAUGCACUGCCCCUCCGCCUACUUCCAGCUCGCCGUGCACCGCCUGUCGGCGCACGGCGUGUACGACCGCGUCGGGGACGACGUGAUGGCGCCGUUCGAGGUGCCGGACUUCCCGGUGCGCGCCGCCGGCAACACGGCCACGCUCCGGGGGUUCUUCCAGUACCCCGGCGUGGAGAAGGAGCACCGUGAGGCGCUGGACGCCGAGGCCACCGCCGACGGCCUGCUGUUCAACACGUUCCGCGGCAUGGAGGGCGCCUUCGUGGACGCGUACGCGGCGGCCCUCGGCAAGAGGACGUGGGCCGUCGGGCCGACCUGCGCCUCCAGCGGCAUGCUCAACGACGCCGACGCCAAGGCCGGCCGCGGCAACCACGCCGACGUCGACGCCGGGCACAUCGUCUCGUGGCUCGACGCCCGGCCGCCGGCGUCCGUGCUGUACGUCAGCUUCGGCAGCAUCUCGCAGCUGACGGCGAAGCAGCUCGCCGGGCUCGCGCGCGGCCUCGAGGCGUCCGGGCGGGCGUUCGUGUGGGCCAUCAAGGAGGCCAAGGCGGACGCCGCCGUGAGGGCGCUGCUCGACGAGGAGGGGUUCGAGGCGCGCGUCAAGGACAGGGGCCUCCUCGUCCGCGGGUGGGCGCCGCAGGUGACCAUCCUCUCGCACCCGGCGGUGGGCGGCUUCCUCACGCACUGCGGCUGGAACGCGACGCUGGAGGCCGUCUCCUACGGCGUGCCGACUCUGACGUGGCCCACCAUCGCCGACCAGUUCUGCAGUGAGCAGCUGCUCGUGGACGUGCUCGGCGUGGGCGUCAGGUCCGGCGUCAAGAUCCCCACCAUGUACCUCCCGAAAGAGGCCGAGGGGGUUCAGGUGACGAGCGGCGACGUGGAGAAGGCGAUCGCGGAGUUGAUGGGCGGCGGGGCGGAGGGGGAGGCGAGGAGGGUCAGGGCCAAAGAGAUCGCCGCGGAGGCGAGGGCGGCCAUGGAGGAAGGCGGGUCGUCGCACUCCGAGCUGACGGACAUGAUCCGCUAUGUCACGGAGCUGUCCAAGCAGAGAAGCCACGGGAGCUCGACAGCCCUGCCUUCCGAGCUCGGAGAGUUGAACGAACAGGAUGCUCUGCUGUCGGUGCAAAUGGCGCAAGUUAGCAUUUAG